rnacentral:rRNA from 1 species
CAGCAGCCACGGUAAUACGGAGGGUGCAAGCGUUAAUCGGAAUUACUGGGCGUAAAGCGCACGCAGGCGGUCUGACAAGUCAGAUGUGAAAUCCCCGGGCUUAACCUGGGAACUGCAUUUGAAACUGUCAGGCUGGAGUCUUGUAGAGGGGGGUGGAAUUCCAGGUGUAGCGGUGAAAUGCGUAGAGAUCUGGAGGAAUACCGGUGGCGAAGGCGGCCCCCUGGACAAAGACUGACGCUCAGGUGCGAAAGCGUGGGGAGCAAACAGGAUUAGAUACCUGUGUAGUCCCUGUCUCUUAUAU